rnacentral:lncRNA from 1 species
AUAAAGUGAGGUAUCGUCGUGAAGAAAUCGGGCUCGCGUAAUUGUAAAGUCAGAAGGUGCAUUAUGUCCCCUUGCUUCAGCCUCCCUACACGGGGAAUCUAGGAGAACAAGUGAAAUAAAGGACGUGAAAGAACUUUGAAAGCUGUGAGCGACCGCACGGGGAUCAGCACGAUGGUGAAGUUCGUCACCAGCAUCGCCAGCACGGUCAUCGUCUUUACCGCAUCGCUAGAUUCAUUCCAGCAUAUUUUCUGAGGUUUCCAAGCCUCAGAAAUGUCACCUAAGGUAGAAAAGAUGUCGGAGAAUUUGAGCGGUUUUAGCAAAAGCGAAGAUUUGGGGAAUUCUCACCCACGGCUGGUGCCAGGGGGACUUGGCACAGCCCUCUUGGAGUCAACUUGGCAGCGUGGAGUCAGCUGGGAAGUCUGUGUCCCAGGUGACCUGUUGCACCUGAGCACGAGGAGAUCUGCGUGGGGGUGGUUGUGCAGCGUUGUUCACGGUGGCAGGCAGUUAUUUUGAAAGAGCUUAAAUGUUUGUUAACAAGUAAUUGGAUAAAAUGUUACAUAAAUAAUGCCAUUUAUGUAAAAGUUUAAAAUACAAAAGCAGUGCUAUAUAUUAUCUAUAGAUACAUGUGUAUGUCGAAGCUUAAAUACACAAAUGGGAAUGAUACAUAAAAACCUCAGAAUAUGGUUGCCUCUGAAGGGCAGGGGGAGGGAGAAUGAGACCGGGGAGUAGAAAAAAAUAAAUGAAGUACACGGGGAAUAUUUUAACUUUUUCAAUCAAACAGUACAGCUGCAGGAAACAUGCCAGCAUCCUUACAUUUGUUCGUUGCAGAUGGUGGGUAUUAGUUUUAUAACUGUGUAUUUCUCCACCUAAGAAGUUUGUCCCAUAACGGGAUAAUCUUUAAAACUGAAUAAAUAAAACACACUCAUAGAGUUCAUCUUAAUUAUGGUUGAAUUUCACAUGCUUGCCUUUUUUAACGUAUGUGUACCCUUUCUAACACCGAGAAGAAUGACACAAUAUCACGCCUCAUUUGAAUGAAACAUUUAUGCCAAUGGUUGUGCCAAUUUCUGGUUAAAUCUGCUGUGAUAGAAAAGUGGUGAUUAUUGGGAGACCAGGACAUCAGAACCUACUGGGAUAGACGUUUGAUUGAAAACUGAGCAGGAAACGAGUUUAUCUUGACUUUGUCCUGAGGGUUGAUUCUUUCCCUUCAG